UACUGCAGCAUUUUGCGUCCGUCUUUGGUGUAAACUGGCAUCUGCAGUUCCUUCCUACACUUUCCUUGUACCUUGUGGUCAUCACUUCCGGAGAGUCCACCAGGAAUUACACUGGAAGUUGGACAAUUUAUACUGGACAAGUUUUACAUUUAUCAAGCCAAUUAACCCACAAAGCCAAGUUUCCACCGGGCGCUCCGGUCUCCUCCGACAUUCCAAAUGCGUGCAGGUUUGUAGGUUAAUCAGCCUCUGUAAUUUGUCCCGAGUGCAUAUGAUGUGAAACCAGGAUAACAUCGAGCUAGUGUGCAAGUGGUCGUGGGUCGGCACAGAUUCGGUGGGCCAAAGGGCCGGUUUCCAUGCUGUAUAUCUCUGAAGUGGACUGAAAAGAGACAAAAGAUGUCGGGUGAGGAGAAAAGAGGAGUGAAAUGUAAAGCCAGAGGAAGGAUUGAGGUAGAAGGGGAUGGGUAGGG